rnacentral:rRNA from 1 species
UGAGGAAUAUUGGUCAAUGGACGCAAGUCUGAACCAGCCAAGUAGCGUGCAGGAUGACGGCCCUAUGGGUUGUAAACUGCUUUUAUAUGGGGAUAAAGUGGGGAACGUGUUCCCUUUUGCAGGUACCAUAUGAAUAAGGACCGGCUAAUUCCGUGCCAGCAGCCGCGGUAAUACGGAAGGUUCGGGCGUUAUCCGGAUUUACUGGGUGUAAAGGGCGUGCAGGCGGGCUGAUAAGUCAGAUGUGAAAUCCCCGAGCUUAACUCGGGAACUGCAUCUGAUACUGUUGGUCUUGAGUGCUGGAGAGGAUAGUGGAAUUCCUAGUGUAGCGGUAAAAUGCGCAGAUAUUAGGAGGAACACCAGUGGCGAAGGCGGCUAUCUGGACAGUAACUGACGCUGAGGCGCGAAAGCGUGGGUAGCAAACAGG